GGCACGGAACCCCACGGAAGCACUAUGGAGUGCUGCAGUGGGGUUUCUCUCUGUGCCUCUGCACCACAAAAAAUAGAACAUGUUCUAUUUUUUUGCGAUGUGGACGGAUCACAGACCCAAUAAAGUUAAAUGGGUCUGUAUCCAUAUGCAGGAGCUG